GUCUAUGGCCAUGCCACCCUGAACAAGCCUGAUCUUGGAACCUAAGCAGGGUUGAGCCUGGUUAGUACUUGGAUGGGAGACCACCUAGGAAGACCAAGUGCUGUAGGCA
rnacentral:rRNA from 1 species